rnacentral:rRNA from 1 species
GACGAACGCUGGCGGCGUGCCUAAUACAUGCAAGUAGAACGCUGAAGGAGGAGCUUGCUUCUCUGGAUGAGUUGCGAACGGGUGAGUAACGCGUAGGUAACCUGCCUGGUAGCGGGGGAUAACUAUUGGAAACGAUAGCUAAUACCGCAUAAUAGUAGAUGUUGCAUGACAUUUGCUUAAAAGGUGCAAUUGCAUCACUACCAGAUGGACCUGCGUUGUAUUAGCUAGUUGGUGGGGUAACGGCUCACCAAGGCGACGAUACAUAGCCGACCUGAGAGGGUGAUCGGCCACACUGGGACUGAGACACGGCCCAGACUCCUACGGGAGGCAGCAGUAGGGAAUCUUCGGCAAUGGAAGGAAGUCUGACCGAGCAACGCCGCGUGAGUGAAGAAGGUUUUCGGAUCGUAAAGCUCUGUUGUAAGAGAAGAACGAGUGUGAGAGUGGAAAGUUCACACUGUGACGGUAGCUUACCAGAAAGGGACGGCUAACUACGUG